GCCGGGCAUGAUGAUGCAUGCCUGUAAUCCCAGCUACGUGGGAGGCUGAGGCAGGAGAAUUGCUUGAACCCAGGAGGCAGAGGUUGCAGUGAGCUGAGAUUGUGCCACUGCACUCCAGCCUGGGUGACAGAGUGAGACCCUGUCUCAA
rnacentral:SRP_RNA from 2 species